GACAUAAGUAACGAUAAAGCGGGUGAAAAGCCCGCUCGCCGGAAGACCAAGGGUUCCUGUCCAACGUUAAUCGGGGCAGGGUGAGUCGACCCCUAAGGCGAGGCCGAAAGGCGUAGUCGAUGGGAAACGGGUUAAUAUUCCCGUACUUGGUGUUACUGCGAAGGGGGGACGGAGAAGGCUAUGUUGGCCGGGCGACGGUUGUCCCGGUUUAAGCGUGUAGGUGUGUGUUCCAGGUAAAUCCGGUUCACUUUAACACUGAGGCGUGACGACGAGGCACUACGGUGCUGAAGCAACAAAUGCCCUGCUUCCAGGAAAAGCCUCUAAGCAUCAGGUAACAUCAAAUCGUACCCCAAACCGACACAGGUGGUCAGGUAGAGAAUACCAAGGCGCUUGAGAGAACUCGGGUGAAGGAACUAGGCAAAAUGGUGCCGUAACUUCGGGAGAAGGCACGCUGACACGUAGGUGAAGUGAUUUACUCAUGGAGCUGAAGUCAGUCGAAGAUACCAGCUGGCUGCAACUGUUUAUUAAAAACACAGCACUGUGCAAACACGAAAGUGGACGUAUACGGUGUGACGCCUGCCCGGUGCCGGAAGGUUAAUUGAUGGGGUCAGCGCAAGCGAAGCUCCUGAUCGAAGCCCCGGUAAACGGCGGCCGUAACUAUAACGGUCCUAAGGUAGCGAAAUUCCUUGUCGGGUAAGUUCCGACCUGCACGAAUGGCGUAAUGAUGGCCAGGCUGUCUCCACCCGAGACUCAGUGAAAUUGAACUCGCUGUGAAGAUGCAGUGUACCCGCGGCAAGACGGAAAGACCCCGUGAACCUUUACUAUAGCUUGACACUGAACAUUGAGCCUUGAUGUGUAGGAUAGGUGGGAGGCUUUGAAGUGUGGACGCCAGUCUGCAUGGAGCCGACCUUGAAAUACCACCCUUUAAUGUUUGAUGUUCUAACGUGGACCCGUAAUCCGGGUUGCGGACAGUGUCUGGUGGGUAGUUUGACUGGGGCGGUCUCCUCCUAAAGAGUAACGGAGGAGCACGAAGGUUGGCUAAUCCUGGUCGGACAUCAGGAGGUUAGUGCAAUGGCAUAAGCCAGCUUGACUGCGAGCGUGACGGCGCGAGCAGGUGCGAAAGCAGGUCAUAGUGAUCCGGUGGUUCUGAAUGGAAGGGCCAUCGCUCAACGGAUAAAAGGUACUCCGGGGAUAACAGGCUGAUACCGCCCAAGAGUUCAUAUCGACGGCGGUGUUUGGCACCUCGAUGUCGGCUCAUCACAUCCUGGGGCUGAAGUAGGUCCCAAGGGUAUGGCUGUUCGCCAUUUAAAGUGGUACGCGAGCUGGGUUUAGAACGUCGUGAGACAGUUCGGUCCCUAUCUGCCGUGGGCGCUGGAGAACUGAGGGGGGCUGCUCCUAGUACGAGAGGACCGGAGUGGACGCAUCACUGGUGUUCGGGUUGUCAUGCCAAUGGCACUGCCCGGUAGCUAAAUGCGGAAGAGAUAAGUGCUGAAAGCAUCUAAGCACGAAACUUGCCCCGAGAUGAGUUCUCCCUGAGACUUAGAGUCUCCUGAAGGAACGUUGAAGACGACGACGUUGAUAGGCCGGGUGUGUAAGCGCAGCGAUGCGUUGAGCUAACCGGUACUAAUGAACCGUGAGGCUUAACCUUACAACGCCGAAG
rnacentral:rRNA from 1 species